rnacentral:rRNA from 1 species
UACGGAGGGGGCUAGCGUUGUUCGGAAUUACUGGGCGUAAAGCGCACGUAGGCGGCUUUGUAAGUUAGAGGUGAAAGCCCGGGGCUCAACUCCGGAAUUGCCUUUAAGACUGCAUCGCUAGAAUUGUGGAGAGGUAAGUGGAAUUCCGAGUGUAGAGGUGAAAUUCGUAGAUAUUCGGAGGAACACCAGUGGCGAAGGCGGCGACCUGGGCCAAUAUUGACGCUUAAGCGCGAAAGCGUGGGGAGCAAACAGG